rnacentral:rRNA from 2 species
GUCUGUUUGUAGGUAUAAAGAGUUUAGCCUGCCCACUGAUAAAAAUUUAAGGGCCGCGGUAUUCUGACCGUGCAAAGGUAGCAUAAUCGUUAGUUUUUUAAUUGGAAUCUUGUAUGAAUGGUUGGACAAAGGAAAAUCUGUCUCUAUAACUAUAAAGUGAAUUUAACUUUUAAGUGAAAAGGCUUAAAUGAAUUAAGGGGACGAUAAGACCCUAUAAAGCUUAAUAUGGAAAUAUUAUUUGGUCAAAUUUUUAUAUUAUAAAGAUUUAGUAGUUUAUAAGUAUUAUAUUGGGGCGAUAAAGGUAAAAUGAUUAUUAACUGCUUAUUAUUUAAACAAGAAUAAAUGAUUGAAAGUUAUAAAGGAUCCUGGUUAUAGAUUAGAAGAUUAAGUUACUUUAGGGAUAACAGCGUUAUUUUUUUUGAGAGUUCUUAUCGAGAAAAGAGUUUGCGACCUCGAUGUUGAAUUAAAAUAUCUGUACAAUUGCAGAAGUUGUAUAAGAAGGUCUGUUCGACCUUUAAAUUUUUACAUGAUUUGAGUUCAGACCGGCGUGAG